AUACGUAGGUAGCGAGCGUUAUCCGGAAUUAUUGGGCGUAAAGGGUGCGUAGGCGGCUUGUUAAGUUUAAGGUGAAAGCGUGGGGCUCAACCCCAUAAAGCCUUAGAUACUGACGAGCUAGAGUACUGGAGAGGGUAGUGGAAUUCCAUGUGUAGCGGUAAAAUGCGUAGAUAUAUGGAGGAACACCGGUGGCGAAGGCGGCUACCUAGACAGAGACUGACGCUGAUGCACGAAAGCGUGGGGAGCAAAUAGGAUUAGAUACCCUAGUAGUCCACGCUGUAAACGAUGAAUACUAGGUAUCGGGGCAACUCGGUGCCGCAGUUAACACGAUAAGUAUUCCGCCUGUGGAGUAUGCACGCAAGUGUGAA
rnacentral:rRNA from 1 species